rnacentral:tRNA from 1 species
GGGGUUGUGGCUCAGUGGUAGAGCACUUGCCUAGCAUGUGUGAGGCGAGGUUCGAUCCUCAGCACCA